rnacentral:rRNA from 1 species
UACAGAGGGUGCGAGCGUUAAUCGGAAUUACUGGGCGUAAAGCGUGCGCAGGCGGCGCCGCAAGUCAGGCGUGAAAUCCCCGAGCUUAACUUGGGAAUGGCGCUUGAAACUACGGUGCUGGAGUGUGGCAGAGGGAGGUGGAAUUCCACGUGUAGCGGUGAAAUGCGUAGAGAUGUGGAGGAACACCGAUGGCGAAGGCAGCCUCCUGGGCCAACACUGACGCUCAUGCACGAAAGCGUGGGGAGCAAACAGG